rnacentral:rRNA from 1 species
GAACAACUCUCAGCAACGGAUAUCUUGGCUCCUGCCGCAGCGAAAUGCGAUACGUUAUGUGAAUUGCAGAAUUCCGCGAAUCAUCGAGUCUUUGAACGCAACUUGCGCCCGAGGCUUGUCCGAGGGCAUUUCCGCUAGAGCGUCACC